rnacentral:tRNA from 1 species
GCAUGGGUGGUUCAGUGGUAGAAUUCUCGCCUGCCACGCGGGAGGCCUGGGUUCGAUUCCCGGCCCAUGCA